UACGGAGGGGGCGAGCGUUAUUCGGAAUUAUUGGGCGUAAAGGGCGCGUAGGCGGCCUGGUAAGUAGGGGGUGAAAUCCUGCGGCUUAACCGCAGGGCUGCCUUCUAAACUGUCAGGCUUGAGCACGGUAGAGGCAGAUGGAAUUCCCGGUGUAGCGGUGGAAUGCGUAGAGAUCGGGAAGAACAUCAGUGGCGAAGGCGGUCUGCUGGGCCGUUGCUGACGCUGAGGCGCGACAGCGUGGGGAGCAAACAGG
rnacentral:rRNA from 1 species